rnacentral:rRNA from 1 species
GAGUUUGAUCGUGGCUCAGAUUGAACGCUGGCGGCAUGCCUUACACAUGCAAGUCGAACGGCAGCAUGAUCUAGCUUGCUAGAUUGAUGGCGAGUGGCGAACGGGUGAGUAAUACAUCGGAACGUGCCCCGUAGUGGGGGAUAACUAGUCGAAAGAUUAGCUAAUACCGCAUACGACCUGAGGGUGAAAGUGGGGGACCGCAAGGCCUCAUGCUAUAGGAGCGGCCGAUGUCUGAUUAGCUAGUUGGUGGGGUAAAGGCCCACCAAGGCGACGAUCAGUAGCUGGUCUGAGAGGACGAUCAGCCACACUGGGACUGAGACACGGCCCAGACUCCUACGGGAGGCAGCAGGUGGGGUAAUUUUGGACAAGUGGGCGAAAGCCUGAUCCAGCAAUGCCGCGUGUGUGAAGAAGG